UACGUAGGUGGCAAGCGUUGUCCGGAUUUAUUGGGCGUAAAGCGAGCGCAGGCGGUUCAAUAAGUCUGAUGUGAAAGCCUUCGGCUCAACCGGAGAAUUGCAUCAGAAACUGUUGAACUUGAGUGCAGAAGAGGAGAGUGGAACUCCAUGUGUAGCGGUGGAAUGCGUAGAUAUAUGGAAGAACACCAGUGGCGAAGGCGGCUCUCUGGUCUGCAACUGACGCUGAGGCUCGAAAGCAUGGGUAGCGAACAGG
rnacentral:rRNA from 1 species